UACGUAGGGACCAAGCGUUGUCCGGAUUGACUGGGCGUAAAGCGCACGCAGGCGGUUGUGCGCGUGGGGUGUGAAAUCUGGCCGCUUAACGGCCAGGCGCCAUCCCAUACGGGCACGACUGGAGGGAUGCAGAGGUCGAUGGAAUUGCCGGUGUAGUGGUGAAAUGCGUAGAGAUCGGGAGGAACACCUGUGGCGAAGGCGGCCGUCUGGGCCGACCCUGACGCUGAGGCGCGAAGGCGUGGGGAGCCGAACGGG
rnacentral:rRNA from 1 species